UCCAAGGUUUGUCUGCAGUUGAAGAUC
rnacentral:piRNA from 2 species